rnacentral:rRNA from 1 species
ACGGGUGAGUAAUACAUCGGAACGUGCCCGAUCGUGGGGGAUAACGGAGCGAAAGCUUUGCUAAUACCGCAUACGAUCUACGGAUGAAAGCAGGGGACCGCAAGGCCUUGCGCGGACGGAGCGGCCGAUGGCAGAUUAGGUAGUUGGUGGGAUAAAAGCUUACCAAGCCGACGAUCUGUAGCUGGUCUGAGAGGACGACCAGCCACACUGGGACUGAGACACGGCCCAGACUCCUACGGGAGGCAGCAGUGGGGAAUUUUGGACAAUGGGCGAAAGCCUGAUCCAGCCAUGCCGCGUGCAGGAUGAAGGCCUUCGGGUUGUAAACUGCUUUUGUACGGAACGAAAAGCCUCUUUCUAAUAAAGAGAGGUCAUGACGGUACCGUAAGAAUAAGCACCGGCUAACUACGUGCCAGCAGCCGCGGUAAUACGUAGGGUGCGAGCGUUAAUCGGAAUUACUGGGCGUAAAGCGUGCGCAGGCGGUGAUGUAAGACAGAUGUGAAAUCCCCGGGCUCAACCUGGGAACUGCAUUUGUGACUGCAUCGCUGGAGUGCGGCAGAGGGGGAUGGAAUUCCGCGUGUAGCAGUGAA